rnacentral:lncRNA from 1 species
GGUGUUGGAUGAUUGCAGGCUGAUCAAUUCGAUUGAUGCAUCAUAUUUACUUUUUACACUUUACUAUGCCGAAGGCUUCUGGAAACGCCUUACUUGUUAUAAAGUGGUGUUUUGGCAUCACAAGAGAGAUUUUUGUCGGGUUGUGUAGACCGUCGUUUUGCAUGUUUCCAGUUUCCUUCUCAUUGUAGUCGCCAUUGCACACCCUCUUUUAAAUCUGAAAUUGGUCUUGUGCCUUUGGAUUUCUACUCAUGGAGAUAGUGAUGAAUGCUGCUCUGCAAAUGGGAAUUUAGUCCAUAUUGCUGCAUGGUUGAAUAUGUAAGGAUACUCUGAAACCUGUACUCU